CAUUGGUGGGGCAGCCCGUGGGUGUCACCGUGUCCCUGCACGGUCAGCCAGGCUCCAGCUCAGCUCCCCAGCACCGCCUGCUCUUCUCCACCCUCGGUGCCACCUUCGGUGCCACCCCGGUGCCAGGGUCCUGCUGGAGCUCCUCACCUGCCAGUUCCAGCCCCUGCAGGCCAUCCUCUGUCCCAGGCCAGCCCUGGAUAAACCAGUCCAGGGAAACUUCUGCAGCAGCAGGGCUUGGCUGCUUGGACUAAAAUCAACCUGCUUCACUCCCUGCCUGCUUCAUCCCCUGCCUGCUUCAUCCCCUGCCUCUUCAUUUCUUACCUUCUUCAUCCUCUCCCUCUUCAAUCCUUGCCUGCUUCAUUCCCUGUCUGCUUCAUCCUCUUCCUCUUCAUUCCCUGCAUCUUCGUUCCUUACCUGCUUCAUUCCCUGCCUAUUUCAUCCCCUGUCUGUCCGUUCCCUUCCUGCCUCAUUCCCUUCCUCCUCUUUCCUUGCUUCUUCAUCUCCUGCCUGUUUCAACCCCUUCCUACUUCAUCCUCUUUGUCACCCCUGUGUCUGCCUCAUCUCCCUGCCUUGCCUAAUUUACCUCCCUCUUCAUCCCCUGCCUGCUCCAUCCCAUCUGCUCCAUCCCCUGCCUGCUCCAUUCCCUGCCUGCUCCAUCCCAUCUGCUCCAUCCCCUGCCUGCCCCAUCCCCUGCCUGCUCCAUCCCCUACCUGCUCCAUCCCCUGCCUGCUCCAUCCCCUGCCUGCUCCAUUCCUGGCUUCAUUUCCAGCAGGUGCCAGCAGCUCCUGGAGCCGGGUGGGACCAGCCUGUGCCCCCAUGGGCUGCGCCAAAGCAGGGCUGCCACACCUUGCCCAGGCUCAGCACUGCCCCAGGUUUGGGCACCAGGCAGCCCUCCAGGCCCCCCACCCCUUGCCCAGUGCCAGGCAGGCCAGGGCAGGCUGCCUCCUCUCCUGGUUGCAGGACACGUGCUGGGCUCAGCCCCUCACCCUUUUUCCAGCCAGCUUUGGGCGCUUGGAGCUGCCCUUGAAGCUCUGCCUGAUCAGUGAGCCCUGGGCAGAGCUGCUGCUUCCAGGCAAUUGGCUCUGACCCCUCCUGGCUGGAGGGCAUCACUCUGUGCCUCCUAGAAAGCCUCUGGACAGGGC
rnacentral:lncRNA from 12 species